rnacentral:rRNA from 1 species
GACGAACGCUUGCGGCGUGCUUAACACAUGCAAGUCGAACGGAAAGGCCCCUUUUGGGGUACUCGAGUGGCGAACGUGUGAGUAACACGUGAGUAACCUGCCCUUGACUUCGGGAUAACUUCAGGAAACUGGGGCUAAUACCGGCUAGGCAUCCUUGCUGCAUGGUGGGGGUUGGAAAGCUUCGGCGGUUUUGGCUGGACUCGCGGCUUAUCAGCUUGUUGGUGGGGUAGUGGCUUACCAAGGCUUUGACGGGUAGCCGGCCUGAGAGGGCGACCGGCCACAAUGGGACUGAGAUACGGCCCAGACUCCUACGGGAGGCAGCAGUGGGGAAUAUUGCACAAUGGGCGGAAGCCAGAUGCAGCAACGCCGCGUGCGGGAUGACGGACGUCGGGUUGUAAACCGCUUGCAGCAGGGGCGAAGCUUGAGGUGACGGUACCUGCAGAAGAAGCACCGGCUAACUAAGUG